CCCUACGGGGUGUAGCGCUUCGUUUUUUCAACAUCUAUGGACCGAGACAGGACCCCAGCAGCCCUUACAGCGGGGUCAUCUCCAGGUUCCUCGAUCUGGCCUUGGCCGGAGAGUCUCUGGAGGUUUUUGGGGAUGGCCUCCAGGCCCGCGACUUUGUCUACGUCUCGGAUGUGGUGGACGCCUACCUGCUGGCUGGAGGGGGACAGGAUUCAUCCUUCGAGGUGCGCCAUGGUGUUUACAACAUAGGAACGGGCAGGAGUACCACCAUUCUUGAAUUGGCGGGAGAGC
rnacentral:rRNA from 1 species